rnacentral:rRNA from 1 species
UGGGGAAUAUUGCACAAUGGGCGCAAGCCUGAUGCAGCAACGCCGCGUGAGGGAUGACGGCCUUCGGGUUGUAAACCUCUUUUAGCAGGGAAGAAGCGAAAGUGACGGUACCUGCAGAAAAAGCACCGGCUAACUACAUGCCAGCAGCCGCGGUAAUACGUAGGGUGCAAGCGUUGUCCGGAAUUAUUGGGCGUAAAGAGCUCGUAGGCGGUCUGUCGCGUCUGCUGUGAAAUCCCGAGGCUCAACCUCGGGCCUGCAGUGGGUACGGGCAGACUAGAGUGCGGUAGGGGAGAAUGGAACUCCUGGUGUAGCGGUGGAAUGCGCAGAUAUCAGGAAGAACACCGAUGGCGAAGGCAGUUCUCUGGGCCGUAACUGACGCUGAGGAGCGAAAGCGUGGGGAGCGAACAGGAUUAGAUACCCUGGUAGUCCACGCCGUAAACGUUGGGCGCUAGAUGUGGGGACCAUUCCACGGUUUCCGUGUCGCAGCUAACGCAUUAAGCGCCCCGCCUGGGGAGUACGGCCGCAAGGCUAAAAC